rnacentral:lncRNA from 1 species
CUGUGCGGAAGCAAACCCUCCAUAUCUCUGUUUACUACUUUUGCAGUUGCUGAUAAUGCAGAUUCUGACAGCUCAGACUCAGUUUGAGGGAGAGCCUCCUCCUCUCCCUGGCUGCCACCACAGCCUUCUGAAGAAGUGUGCAAAGGGACCUCAUGCUCCAAGCAUGGACAAGUCACGCUCAGUCUCAAGACAUAUGCUAACUCUUCUGAGCCCCCGAAUACCGUGCCCCUGGGAAAAGCUGAAGAACUACAAGUCCCCUGCCAGCCAUUCAACACCUCCUUCAAUGCCGAAUGUAUCACCAGCACAGAAACUCAUGCAAUACCAAGGCAGUACUGCAGGGAAGUGGGUAGGUGAGUCUUGCAUGCACUCCGUAAUGUGAUUUGAGGUUUCAUAUAUGCUUUAUUUCUAAAGACUCAAGUUACACUUUUACUAUACUAACAUCUCUAAAAGUGAUUUGUGUAACACAGUUAUGUGAAACAGUAACAUUGUAA